GCCUGUGUGAUGUAGUGGUUUGCAUGUUGAACUAAGACUUUGAAGACCAGGGUUUGAAUCCCUACAUAGUCA